AUAGUCGGCGGCGUUUCGGGUGUCCCCACGGCGUGUCCAGGGGAUGAAACGGGAAGCCGGUGCGUCGCGCAUCCACGCGCAACCAGGCCGGCGCUGCCCCCGCAACGGUAGGCGGAUGAUCCGUCGGACGUCGACAAGACCACUGUGCCUCGGCAUGGGAAGGUGACGUCCGGUACAUGCCCUCGGGGCGUGUCAUCCGCGAGCCCGGAGACCGGCCCGAUUCGCUGUCCUGAC
rnacentral:ncRNA from 2 species